rnacentral:rRNA from 1 species
GAUGAACGCUAGCGGCAGGCUUAAUACAUGCAAGUCGAGGGGCAGCGCAGUGUAGCAAUACAUGGGCGGCGACCGGCAAACGGGUGCGGAACACGUACGCAACCUCCCUUUAAGUGGGGGAUAGCCCAGGGAAACUUGGAUUAAUACCCCGUAAUAUUAUGAAGUGGCAUCACUUUAUACUUAUAGCUCCGGCGCUUAAAGAUGGGCGUGCGACUGAUUAGGUAGUUGGCGGGGUAACGGCCCACCAAGCCUGCGAUCAGUAACUGGUGUGAAAGCACGACCAGUCAGACGGGAACUGAGACACGGGCCCGACUCCUACGGGAGGCAGCAGUAAGGAAUAUUGGUCAAUGGACGCAAGUCUGAACCAGCCAUGCCGCGUGGAGGAUGAAGGUCCUCUGGAUUGUAAACUUCUUUUAUUUGGGAAGAAACCCACUGUUUCUACGGUGGUUGACGGUACCAGAUGAAUAAGCACCGGCUAACUCCGUGCCAGCCGCCGCGGUAAUAC